UACGUAGGUGGCGAGCGUUGUCCGGAUUUACUGGGCGUAAAGGGAGCGUAGGCGGACUUUUAAAUGAGAUGUGAAAUACUCGGGCUCAACUUGAGUGCUGCAUUUCAAACUGGAAGUCUAGAGUGCAGGAGAGGAGGAUGGAAUUCCUAGUGUAGCGGUGAAAUGCGUAGAGAUUAGGAAGAACACCAGUGGCGAAGGCGAUUCUCUGGACUGUAACUGACGCUGAGGCUCGAAAGCGUGGGGAGCAAACAGG
rnacentral:rRNA from 1 species